AGAGUACUUAUUAUUACAAUACCAAGGGAGGUAAAAACUCCUCCUGAUAAGUUCUUACAUAAAAGUUUUUAUGGAGGACUAGGUCCUCCCACAGCUUCAUUCUUGCUUUUCUUCAUUUGGCACCACCCUGGUACAAAAGCAACAAAAAUUUGCUGCUUCCUCACCUAAAAACAAUACGGAAUAAAACCCUGAGUAUGGAAUUACUCAGCAAGUCUUACCUGACUAAAGAAAAGACUCUCAAUGGUAUGCUGGUUGUAAGGGAGUCAAGGUAAGGUUUCUCAAUUAUCAAAGACUCUGUUUGCAUAAUGCUUACUAAAAGUGGAUCCUUAAAAGUCCAGUUUUAUUUUCAGUUUAGGUAAAAUUACCUAUAUCUAGAGUUCUUUCUAACCUAAUUCAAUCACUUAACCUGCACUAGCCAAUUUCUUAACAAGCCCUUCAUCUUCACUGGAGUUCUACGUAUAGGUCAGUGGCCAAGUCUCCAUAACCGCGGAGGUACGGCGAUCCGAAUUGAUUAUACUCAGCUGAGGAUCUCCAAUCACACGACAUAUGUAGCACUUAACCCUUGCAUAUGUCAACCCGCCACCGGGGUUCUUAAGACCAGAUCAGGUUCACGCGAACCGAGAGCACAGAUACACCACUGUCCAGCCUCUUGCCACGGAGGGUACACGCUACUCUCGCCACCGCUCCACGCCCAUUCCGUGUUAUCUUAUUCUGGCCUUAGUCUGCCCGAGGCAAGGCUUACCCAUGACGAGGCAUGUGACCAGUUAAAGGGUCCUCGGUCAGCAGGCCUACAUCGACACGGUCCUUAAUCGACUCAGACGGAGACACUACACCGAGACUCCUUUCUCGUGCAAGUCACCCGCCUGGUCUCAGCUUAAUCAUUUAAAACCCAAAGUUUGGUACCUGGUAGAGGUACAUCUUUUCCGAUGUUGAACCCAUCACGGCCAUGAUAGAUCCACCAUCAAGUUUUAUUUUCAAAAACAUCCUUCCCACUUUGCCAAUCAUGUUUUGUAAAACAAACCUUUUGUUUUGCUAGAGCAAUACUAAGCAUAGUAAAACCUUUUGUAAAAACAGGGCUUCAAGGAAGGUAAUCAAGUACAAGGAAGGUAAUGCAGGAAUUGUUUAAGCAUUCAACUCCUAUUACCUAAUGCAUUAAUCAAGUGAGAAAGAUUUAAAACAUCAAGGAAGGUGGCAAAUGCACCGGGGCUUGCCUUCGUUGAUAGGUGAGUCAGGUUUGGACCCGCAGAUAUCGAGGUAGAAACAGUUUCGUGCCUGAGAUUCCGAGGGUGGUGGUGGUGUCUUCUCUUCAAUUACUUCGGUUUCCUCUUCGUUUUCUAAACAUCACCAUAUAUAUGUGUAUAUAAGAAUGAAUGCCAUGUAAUGCUCAUGAGAGUGCAAAGAUAAUAAGAAUUUAUUAUCUAAGGUUCUUGAAUACAAUUUUAAUUCACGGUUCACCGGAAAACUAGGGUUUCCGGAGUCACUAAAGGAAUUCAAAGGGCAGGGGUGGGGGUUGUGGGUUCUAAUUAUCAAACAAGGUCCAAUUCAAACCAAACUCUACCCAAGGCUUCUAAAUAAUGUUUAAAGUUAAAAUAAAAAGGUUUGGGAAUUUUUGGAAUUACCAUUUAUUUUCUAAAAAUCCAGAACUAAUGUUUUAUGUUAUUUUAAAUACUCCAAAAUUCCCUAUUUAACUUAAAAACCAUGAAACUAUUUUUAUUAAAUACUAUGGAAAAUUAGGAAUCUAGGAAAAUUGGUUUGGCAUUUUUAUCGUUUUUCUACAAUUUUCUAUAGAUUUUCAAAGUUUCAUAGAAAAAGAAAAGGAGAAAAUCAUGAACAGUACUGGGCCGAAAGUAACCCAGACGACCCAGCCUGCACAGGAAUAGGGACGCGCCCACGCGCGCCCGCACGCGCGAUGGCGACUUUGCGAACAAGCCCUUGCAGUUUUGAAUAACCCGAAGGAGUCCAAACAGUAUUUGAAACAGUCGCUGACCCUUUGCAGAAAUGCCCUCGAACUUCCAUUUCUUCCCCACAAACAUCCCUGGCCAUGGUGUGCUCGCAGAUCACCCCUGACGCGGCUCGUACUGGCCAUGGCCGGUGAUGGCUGCUAUGGCUAAUUACCGGGGAGGCAUCACUGACCUAAGGCGACCUAGGAACAUCCAUUUACUAGACAUAAAUCUUACUGGAAACUACCUCACCACGAUUAUGGCGGAAACCGAGCUUACGAACACAUGUUCCCACCAAAUCAUGGUUGAACUAGGUAAAUGAGUGCCACAGUGAGCUUCACAAACAUGAGGAGACAUGAAAACAACGCUUGAUUUGGACGGUGCCUUACCAGAACGGAUUGGCAACGGUGGAACUGUUCUUCGCGGUGGCGGAGACAAAUUUGGGGGAAAUUUGAAAUUCAAGAGCUCGGGUGGAUGAUUAAGGGUGGGAGCGGGUGCUAUGGCUUCACAAAGAACUCUAGUUCUACUACGCACACUUAAUUUGAGAGAAGGGGACAGAGGUGGCGCGAAUUCGGCUCCAAUGCAACUCACGGUGUGGGAUGAUCUCACCUCGCCAUGGACCACCGUGCUAUUUAUAGCCACGGCGACCCGACAGAUGGUCUCCGGCCACGGAUAGCAUCACAAGCACAUGCAUACCAUGUCGGUAGGAGGCACAGUGAGGCAGAUCGCGGCAUGAGCGGCACCACGGCAAAAGUUACCAAG
rnacentral:lncRNA from 1 species